rnacentral:rRNA from 1 species
GAUGAACGCUGGCGGCGUGCCUAAUACAUGCAAGUCGAGCGAACGGACGAGAAGCUUGCUUUUCUGAUGUUAGCGGCGGACGGGUGAGUAACACGUGGAUAACCUACCUAUAAGACUGGGAUAACUUCGGGAAACCGGAGCUAAUACCGGAUAAUAUUUUGAACCGCAUGGUUCAAAAGUGAAAGACGGUCUUGCUGUCACUUAUAGAUGGAUCCGCGCUGCAUUAGCUAGUUGGUAAGGUAACGGCUUACCAAGGCAACGAUGCAUAGCCGACCUGAGAGGGGGAUCGCCCACACUGGAACUGAGACACGGUCCAGACUCCUACGGGAGGCAGCAGUAGGGAAUCUUCCGCAAUGGGCGAAAGCCUGACGGAGCAACGCCGCGUGAGUGAUGAAGGUCUUCGGAUCUUAAAACUCUGUUAUUAGGGAAGAACAUAUGUGUAAGUAACUGUGCACAUCUUGACGGUACCUAAUCAGAAAGCCACGGCUAACUACGUG